AAUGACAUCUACUCGUAGAGUUUAUUGGCUGAUCUCUGAGUUACGCAAACACACAAACAAACACACACAGCGAGCAUCACCGGGGUAUCUAUGAAAUGUCACUCGCAUUUCUAGUCACCUGAUGAGGGCUUAAAAGUGAUCAUCUGACCCCCCUGACAGAUACUAUGAAGGGCAGGGAUCUACUGUUGCAGGGAAGGAGUGUGUGUGUGUGUGUGUGUGUGUGUGUGUGUGUGUGUGUGUGUGUGUGUCUUCUUGGUACAGUCAACAAAAGCCGUGGUGACCAUGACAACAAACAGCAAAGCAGUGGGUGGGGCAGAUGCCGCCUCCUGCGUGCUGUCCAAUUGCAUCCUGCUGUUUAAUAAUAGACGAUAUCAAACUGCUGGAAACAUUACAAAGGCUUACAGCGAUGAGACAGCACAAAAAAUAUAAAAGGAGCUGACGAUGUGCACGUCCCAACACAACACACCCACCCUCACGUAGCCAUUCCCCACAUGCUCCUUUAAGCCGCCUUGUGACUACUGUAAAUAAUACUGACCGGGGCAGAGCAGGGGGGGUGCAGAGCUCUAGGCCCCCCCCACUCCUCCCCACUCCUUGCACCAAUCCCUCCUUAGUGGAAUGUGGGUGAGGGUGGGUGACAGCUGCCAGAGGGACCUCGUGCUGUCAAAUGGAGCUGAGAUUGGAGGGAUGGAGGGGUUUGGGGAUGAAGGGGGUGAUCGUAGCUGUUAGGGCGGCUCGGCAUGUUCAGGUAUGUGCUGACACGGCUCGUUUCCACGGUGACACAGCAGAGCGAAGGUUCGACUCAGCAGGUUAGGCGGACAGGCCAGUUUACAGCUUUGACCUACUGCUGGGACAGAAGCAUGUCAUGUGCUGAUGUCCACUCCGUUCUUCAGGAAGUCCAGGACUUUGUCAAUGUUUCCCGCUCUGGCAGCCCGCAGGAAGCUGGUGUUACUGUCCGACUGUAGACACAAAAUAGGAAGACGCUUUCUCUCUGCCCUCUCACGAUGUCGUCUCCUCCGCUCUCUGGCUUUCUGCAUAGCUCGGUACUCCGGAUGCUGCUCCAGCUCUCGGGCUUUCUUCAGGUGGGCUGCAGCGUGAGCCAUGACUCCCCCUUUC